rnacentral:rRNA from 1 species
GACGAACGCUGGCGGCGUGCCUAAUACAUGCAAGUCGAACGCAGUGGGGACGGGUGAGUAACACGUGGGUAACCUCCCAUCAGAGGGGAGAACACUUGGCAACUGGUGCUAAACCGAUACUGGUUGAUGGACCCGCGGGGCAGUAGCUAGUGGGUGAGGUAACGGCUCACCAAGGCCACGAUGCAUAGCCGACCUGAGAGGGUGAUCUGCCACACUGGGACUGAGACACGGCCCAGACUCCUACGGGAGGCAGCAGUAGGGAAUAUUGGGCAAUGGACGAAAGUCUGACCGAGCAAUGCCGCGUGAGUGAAGAAGGUUUUCGGAUCGUAAAACUCUGUUGUUGGAGAAGCGGUAUCUAAACAGAAAGCCACGGCUAACUACGUGCCAGCAGCCGCGGUAAUAC